UCGANCGGUAACAGGUUAAGCUGACGAGUGGCGAACGGGUGAGUAAUAUAUCGGAACGUGCCCAGUUGUGGGGGAUAACUACUCGAAAGAGUAGCUAAUACCGCAUGAGACCUGAGGGUGAAAGCGGGGGAUCGCAAGACCUCGCGCAGUUGGAGCGGCCGAUAUCAGAUUAGCUAGUUGGCGGGGUAAAAGCCCACCAAGGCGACGAUCUGUAGCUGGUCUGAGAGGACGACCAGCCACACUGGGACUGAGACACGGCCCAGACUCCUACGGGAGGCAGCAGUGGGGAAUUUUGGACAAUGGACGCAAGUCUGAUCCAGCCAUGCCGCGUGUGGGAAGAAGGCCUUCGGGUUGUAAACCACUUUUGUCAGGGAAGAAACGGUCUGGGUUAAUACCUUGGGCUAAUGACGGUACCUGAAGAAUAAGCACCGGCUAACUACGUGCCAGCAGCCGCGGUAAUACGUAGGGUGCAAGCGUUAAUCGGAAUUACUGGGCGUAAAGCGUGCGCAGGCGGUUAUGCAAGACAGAUGUGAAAUCCCCGGGCUCAACCUGGGAACUGCAUUUGUGACUGCAUGGCUAGAGUACGGUAGAGGGGGAUGGAAUUCCGCGUGUAGCAGUGAAAUGCGUAGAUAUGCGGAGGAACACCGAUGGCGAAGGCAAUCCCCUGGACCUGUACUGACGCUCAUGCACGAAAGCGUGGGGAGCAAACAGGAUUAGAUACCCUGGUAGUCCACGCCCUAAACGAUGUCAACUGGUUGUUGGGAGGGUUUCUUCUCAGUAACGUAGCUAACGCGUGAAGUUGACCGCCUGGGGAGUACGGCCGCAAGGUUGAAGCUCAAAGGAAUUGACGGGNNCCGCACAAGCGGNGGAUGAUGUGGUUUAAUUCGAUGCAACGCGAAAAACCUUACCUACCCUUGAC
rnacentral:rRNA from 1 species